GAUGAACGCUGACAGAAUGCUUAACACAUGCAAGUCUACUUGAUUCUACUUCGGUAGUUGAUGGUGGCGGACGGGUGAGUAACGCGUAAAGAAUCUGCCCUUUAGUUUGGGACAACCUUUGGAAACGAAGGCUAAUACCGGAUAUUAUGGAGACGUCGCAUGGCGACUCCAUGAAAGCUAUAUGCGCUAGAGGAGGACUUUGCGUCCCAUUAGUUAGUUGGUGAGAUAAUGGCUCACCAAGACCGCGAUGGGUAGCCGGCCUGAGAGGGUGAUCGGCCACAAGGGAACUGAGACACGGUCCUUACUCCUACGGGAGGCAGCAGUGGGGAAUAUUGGACAAUGGGCCACAAGCCUGAUCCAGCAAUUCUGUGUGCACGAUGAAGGUCUUCGGAUUGUAAAGUGCUUUCAGUAGGGAAGAAAAAAAUGACGGUACCUACAGAAGAAGCGACGGCUAAAUAUGUGCCAGCCGCCGCGGUAACAC
rnacentral:rRNA from 1 species